GCCGCCGCCGGUGCGCAGUUUACAGCUCUGACAAGGUCUCUGCGUCUCACGGGCUGCUCCUCACUGUCUCUCUGAGAGGAGCCGGCAAAGUGAUGAAGGGGCAGAGUGUCUCCUCAACAAGGUUGCUGAUGACACAAAGCCCUUCAGAAAGACCUCGACAGAAAAAAGGGUCAGAGAACUCUGGAAUUCAAAGGCAAAUGCAGAGCCCUGCACCUGCGGAGGAAUAACCCUGGCACCAGCACAGGCUGGGCAUGACCUGCCGGGGAGCAGCUCCGCGGAGAAGGACCUGGGGGUCCUGGUGGACAACAAGCUGUCCCUGAGCUAGCAGUGUGUCCUUGGGGACAAGGCCAGUGGUAUCCAGGGUUGCAUAAAAAAGAGCACUACCAACAGGUCGAGGGAGGUGAUCCUGCCCCUCUCCUCAGCCCUGGUGAGGUCCCAUCUGGAGUGUCUAGUUCUGUGCUCCCAGCCCAAGAGACGUGAAGCUCAUGGAGAGGGUCCAACAGAGGGUGACAAAGAGAAUAAGGGACAGGAGCAUCUCUGUUAAGAGGAAAGGCAGAGGGAGCUGGGCCUGUUCAGCCUCAAGAAGACAUGAUUAGGAGAGGACCUUUUUAAUGUCUAUAAAUAUCCAAAGGGGGGGUGCUGAGGAGAUGGGUCCAAACACUUCUUGGUGGUGCCAACCACUAGUACAUGAGGCAAGGGCCAAGAACUGAUGCACAGGAAGCUCCACCUGAAUAUGAGGGAGAAUAUCUUUGCUGUGCAGAUAACCACACAUGCUGGAAUGGAUUGCCCAGAUUGCCCAGAGAGGUUGUAGAGUCUUCGUCGUGGAAGAUGUACAAGAACCAUCUGGAUGCACUUCUGUGCCAUGUGCUCUAGGAUGACCCUGCCUCAGCAGAGAGGUUGGAUCAGAUGACCCACUGUAAUCCAUUCCACACAAUUUACCCAUUCUGUAGUUCUGUGAAAGUGAGCUUGUUCCAUCUGCUAAAUGCUGUUAAAAGGAGAACACUAAAUGCUCUUUCUACAGAAUGGCUAUGGUUACCACUAGUGUUACAGGAUUGUAAAUGAUAGGAUGAAAGAGGAGGUGGAGGCAGUAAAAAAUAGAAGGAUAAUCCUCUUACUAAGAGAACUAUGUGUGCCAAUCUGUUUGCAGCCACUUUUUUGUACUGGAAAACAUACACUGGGAUUUUGUGGUUGUCAGCUUCCAGGGGCACCCCUUUGAGACUCCCUGGGUGCACUUAUCAGUGGGGUUUAGGUGGUUGUCCAUUGGCCCAUAUAGUUUUUUCCUUUGGUAUUUUUACAUCAGAUUCCCUAUUUCCACUGCACUGAGUUUUCCUCAUAUGGCUACACUUCACAUUUGUUAAUCCAUUUUACAUUCUGCCAAUUCCUUUACCAGCAGAGGCACUACAGAUUUAUGGCAGGUUAUUAUUACAAAUUGUUGGAACAUUAAUGUUGUGGAAAUGGGGCUGUACUGAACCGAAGAUGAUACAGUGGUUUGAAGGGAAGGCUUGAAAAUGCAAGUAAGAAUAAAAUGGGGUAAGUGAAGGAAUGAGCUUGCUUUCUCAUUUUUGGAAGCUUGUAGAGAAGAUACAGAGAUAAGAAAGGGCUGAGGAGAAACAAAAGCCAAGAUGCUGUGAGAGAAAUCUGGUACAGUCCAACACAAUUAUGUUUAGGUAAUACCAGAAUGAUAUUUUGAUAAUAACAGUCAUCUGGAAAAACCCAGUAUUACUCUAUCAGAAGGCUUUAGCUUCCAGCUGUAGACACUGAAAUAUAUUUUCAAUAUAUUUUCACAAGUCUCAAAAUGAGAUUCUGCACUUAAGAAGACAUUGAAAGUUCUUGAGGGAGUCUCUACUUUUUGAAGUAGGGUAGUAUUAUGUUUCCUGCCCAUUGGUUGGUGAAGUUAGAAAAUAUGUUUUUGGAAAGCCACAGUGGACAAAAUGGCAUUUUUUAAACUGGAGUAAAACAUUCAACAUAACACAGUGGAAGCAGAUGUCAAAGUACAGAUAAAUCUGUAUAUAAUAUGGAAGUAGCUUUUAAGUAGAGAAAAGAAAUUUAAAACCCUGUGUUAUGGUUAGCAGCAAGAUUUUUGGCGGAGAACUGAAGGGCUGAAUUACGAAGACUGAUAGCAGAGCAAGAGACAUGGAACAAAGAGGACUUUUAAAACAUUUUGAAUGCCUUUGAAGCAUUCCUUAGUGAUGGUGUAGCCAUCUGUUGAUUGACAUGUUGAAGACAGGUGGGAAGAAGGGGAUCAGAGACUGACUUGACAGAGUUGUAGAGUUGGAUAUCAUCUGCAAAGAGAUGAUGCCCUUUGUUGAAACUGGCAAUGAGAUCUCCCAGAGGAACAUGAGAAAUAAGAAAAAAAGAAAUGAAAUAAACCCUCUGAGAGAUGCACACAGUCAUAGUGUUCUCUCAUGCAUGCUAGUGUAGAUUCAGAGCAAUUCUAGCUCUGACUUCAUUAGACUGUGUCAUGGAUAACAUUGGUGUGAGAGAGGAAUCAAUUACAUCUGCCUUCUGUUAAGAGGAAAACACUUUGGGCAUCCUCAUCAGAUUGUACCAGAACUGGUAAUUGAGACAGAUGUUUUGAACUUGUGUCUGGAUGAAUCAGGUCUACUCAGCAGUGUGUCUGCUGGUAGGGGUGUGUGUUUGUAGAGGUACAGGGGCUCAAACUUGGGCAAAAGUGGAGAAAUACCUAAAUUGAACCUCUUUGUUCAGAUCUUCCACCGAGAAUUGAAACUUGAAAUCCUUUUUGCCGCUAUUUCCUUGUGCUUGCUUGACAUGCCUGUCACAGGAACAAGAAUUUCAUCUACAGUUGCUGAAUUUUUCAAAGUGAAGGAAAAAGGACAUUACAUAGGAGUCUUCACUUAACACUUGGAGACUUGUAUUAACCUCACUUUCGAUCUUGAUCUCAGUUGCAAGACAGCUCUUCCAAAUCCUGAAGCAAAGAAAAACAGAAAUGGGAAUGAUGUGAAUGUGCUAAAGGGAAAGGAUUUUCUUGCUUCUUCUCCUCUUUGGCACCUGCACAUGCCAGAGGCUGUGCACAUACUGUAUCUGCCAUGCUGCAGUGCCUCUAGGUCACAUUUGUCGAGUACAUUAUGUCGUCAGCACUACAAAAUUCCUGAAAAUUUACUGGGGAUAUUGGAUUUGCUUUUUCUGAAGUGAAGCUUAUAAACUGCAUCACUAGCUAUUAGGAGAAGACAUGCAGUAUAUUUGUAGCUGUAAGUUAAGAAAAAUCUGUAUAUAUCUAUGUUUUUCUAUCCACUGAAGGAAGAAUCACCUCUCUUCCUUAUCAAAUCUGAUGCAUCAGAUAAAUACCUCUCUUUCCUCUUAAAUGAUAAUGACAUAGUACAAAUACUCUCCUAUCAUAUAAAAAGACAUAUGCCUGCCUCUCUUUUUCCUUGUAAUGUUUCAUCACCUGUAGUGAUUUCAAAAUCACAAGAUAAAUUUUGUAUUAUUUUUGAUGGGUUAGGCAGCAUUAAAAUGAGCAAUUCCAAUCUAGUGCUUUAAUUAUUUUCUCUUUUAAUAGAAAUUUCAGCCUUGAGCUACUUGUGAGGCUGUAAUGUGUGUAUCUUCAUUACUGACUGACUGUUCUGUUGGGUUUUGAUACUCUUUUCAAGGUAGUUGAAACAGCAAUGUAUUUAUGGCAAAUCAGGUCAAUGAUAUGUUGGAGACACAUAAAACUGUCUUAAAAAACAUUAAUACAUGACUUCUUUCCCAGUAACUAGUGGUAUGUAUAUAUUUCUUACAGUAGAAUAUUCCUUGCUCUGAAUGUCUAAAUAAAACCUAUGACUGUGCAGAGGAGCAAUUUUUGAAUGCUGCAUCGGUCCGGACUAUUUAUUCUUUAAAAGUGUAAUACUGUCUUGGUGGUCUACUGAAAAAGCAUUUUCCUUUCCUUUUGCACUAUUUCAUAAUAUAGCUAUAAAAGGGAGUAUUACAAUAUUCUUGCAAUGUAACUGUUCCCUGUAAUUCAGUGCAUAUGAAAUGCAGUCUGAAAAGAUAGCAUGAAACAAGAAGUCCAUUUUCCAUGUGGCAAAACUUACUGUCACUGUGGGUUUAGUUGUUGAAUUUUGCAUAGAAGUGUUGUUAUGAGCAUCUGUCUCACAAGCAAAGAAGAAAGUUUUGUUAUUCCUAGGCCUUGUACAAGUGAAUGCAAUAUUUAGCAAAGGUAAUUUUAUAUUUGUAUGAACAGAAAACUUUUUCAUGACCACUUGAUUCAUAUAAAACAAAGAUGUGCAUUAUUCCAUCUCAGCACUAUCUGGUCUUAGUAUGAGGCCCUGGGAGGUAUGUAAGAGAGAAAAGGGGGAAAAAUUAUAAACUGCAUGUCUAUGUGUCCAGAAGUUAUUGCAAAUCUAACACCC